GACGAACGCUGGCGGCGUGCCUAAUACAUGCAAGUCGAACGCACAGUUUAUACCGUAGCUUGCUACACCAUAGACUGUGAGUUGCGAACGGGUGAGUAACGCGUAGGUAACCUGCCUGGUAGCGGGGGAUAACUAUUGGAAACGAUAGCUAAUACCGCAUAAUAUUAAUUAUUGCAUGAUAAUUAAUUGAAAGGUGCAAUUGCACCACUACCAGAUGGACCUGCGUUGUAUUAGCUAGUAGGUGAGGUAACGGCUCACCUAGGCGACGAUACAUAGCCGACCUGAGAGGGGGAUCGGCCACACUGGGACGGAGACACGGCCCAGACUCCUACGGGAGGCAGCAGUAGGGAAUCUUCGGCAAUGGACGAAAGUCUGAACGAGCAACGCCGCGUGAGUGAAGAAGGUUUUCGGAUCGUAAAGCUCUGUUGUAAGAGAAGAACGGGUGUGAGAGUGGAAAGUUCACACUGUGACGGUAUCUUAACAGAAAGGGACGGCUAACUACGUG
rnacentral:rRNA from 1 species